CUGUAGAACCUUGAGAUUCUCUGUAACUUUAGCCAACUGUUUGAGUACAUCCCCCUGAGAGACCCUGGGCCAGAACCGCCCAGCUAAGAUGCUCCUGGCUUCCUGACCCUCAGAAACUUUAUUAGGAAGUAAUAAAUGUUUGUUGUUAGUCAGCAAUGAACAAUUCUUUCAAUAAUAUACAAGACGUUUUAUAAGAGGUCAAAGGCAUUGAUUAAAAACUGAUUAAUGGGCAGACCCAAACAAUAUGAGCAUGAAACCCAGGAGAAAGGAAUCAGAGUUGGCUGGGAAAAUUAGAUUUAGCUGUAAUGGACAAGUAGAAUGAGGCAUAACUGACUAUAUCUUCUGGAAAAAUAUAGCUACUAACAGAGAGAUAAAGAAACAGUCACUUUCAGAGCACUUUGUAUAUUAUUUAUUCUUUACAAAAAUUCUGUGGUUCUGUGAUAUACAUUGUUAUCUUCAUUUUACAGGGAAUGACACUGAAGGUCAGAAGUCGAGACACCUGCUCAGAAUCACACAGAUGGUAGAUGACAGAGCUCCAAUCAGAAAACUCGAGCCCGUCUGACUCCCAAAUUCACUGUCUUUCUGCACUUCUGUGUGCUACCGUAAAGAACAGGAAGAUGCAUUCAACCAGGGAGGUCGUAUUGGGAGAUGAAAUUCCCUUCUCUCCACGAAGUACCUAUUCCUUCCUCAACACUCUUCAUCUUUGAUGACUUAGCCCCGAUACCACUUCCUUCAACACAAAGUCUUUCAAGACUUUGAAACCUCCCCUGUCUAUGCUGUCUCUGUGCAUAUGUCUGUCAUUGAAUUCGUGGAAUUAUAUGAUAAUUCUCCAUUUGCGUGAGUUCUUUGUAUUUAAUCAUCUGCGUCACCCUCC
rnacentral:lncRNA from 1 species